CUGUGGGCAGGCAUCCCUCCAAGCUAUUUCCUUCUCACUUUGGCAAGUCUUCCAACAGAAGAAAUGAGGCAAAUGACAUGUGGGGACAUGAACCUCUGUUACUUUCUCCACCACAGCUACCUCAGUUAAUGGAAAUUUUGCUGUUUUCUGAUGGCUCCCAAUGAAUGUCACCGUCUCAUUCUGUAUUGCUCUCCACAAUUAUUCAUUGAAGUGCAGUGAGAAUCUGUCUGCAGUUCAGGCUUAGCAUGCCAAGUGGACUUAAGUUUUGGGUCCACAUGUCUGCUCUAAGGCAAACAGAAUAGGAAUAGGACUCAAAUUUUCUGUAUCUCCGUUGUAUAUCCUAUAAAUAGGUUAUUCUGAAGAUGUGUCCUCUCUUUUUCACAAAGAAGCUGCUAAGCAUGUGAGCUUUCUCAUAAUGCAAGAUGGGAAGAAAUCUGAAAUGGAAAAGUUUCUGAGGACAGAACGAGAAACUCAAGGAAAGGGCUGGAAGAAGCAUCACAUAGAGGACUUAUCACAUAAUACAUUGAGAGAAUGUAACAAUGGAGUUGCUGUUGAGCAGAAGGAAGACAAUGAAAAUAUUUUCAAACUGCAUCAAAGCAGGGUAGUCUUCACAGAAGUCUGCACUGGCAAAUGCAGUCUACACAACUGAGGUAUGAGCACAAUUGAGUCUGUCUUUUGGAUUUUACAAAAAUCCUUUAUUACUUUUCUAUUGGUACAUUAUGGUGGGACAGAAAGAAAAA
rnacentral:lncRNA from 1 species